CAUUUUGUUUUAUGCCACAGAAAAUCACCACUGGGGGAUCACUUGAUUAAUAAAUGCAGAAGGAUAGUGCAACAAAGAUUCAUGAAGAUUGUAUUGUAAUCAUCUAAUUUAAUCAUCAAACAAUAUCCUCCAAAUUUUAUAGCGGGAUGACAAUUUUAUUUCUUAGAUUCACAGCAAACUAACCUGCCCAUUAUCAUGUACUUAAUGCUGGUGCCAACUGAGGGUACGGCAGAACUUGUUUCUGUGUUUUGAGGUUCACUUUGACAACUAUGUAAUCCUCCAAGUCAGCAAUGCUACCAUCAUUUCCAUUUAAUAAUACUUUGUCUUGGCAUUUUGACUCCAUCCUCCCCCUUGCUCCUCUCAUACAGUCAACCUCUAACUCCUGCCACUUUCAUCUUAAAACAUAGCUUCAAUCUGCUCCUUCGUAAUGUUAGAUUCGGGUAGCAUGCUCUUCCAGGCUAUUUAUUCCCACAUUGCUGAAAACCAUUAAUUACAGAAACACAUACAUCAAUAAAUUAUGUGGAAUAAAAUAUAAUAAAAGCUUAUUUCACUUAUAUCUGCAAGGAAAUUAAAAACAGAAUGCGCAAAUUGAAAGCCAUGUGUGAUUCCCUCAAAUAAAAUUCUUAUUCAGACGCAUUUGAUAUGCAGCAAAACUGAUCAAGUAGUUGUUGUGUAAAUCCUGCUACACUGUUGAAUUCUAUUAAAUGCAUCCAAUGACUUCUAACCAAAUGGGAGAUUGUACAUUUAACCCCUUAAGGACACAUGACAUGUGUGACAUGUCAUGAUUCCCUUUUAUUCCAGAAGUUUGGUCCUUAAGGGGUUAAGAUGAAACGUUUUACCUAAAAUUUGCAAACGUAUUGGUCAUCCAACCAAUGGGUCAAGUAGAUGACUGUUUACAGUAAGAUAGGCUAAUAUUACUUCUAUCAUCAGGUGUAAUGAUGUAAUACAAUUUCAAUCCCACUGUACUUUAAGUUCCAAGUAGUGCAGAGCGGGUAUUGAAUUCAAACUUGGUUAGAGCUUUUACAUAUUUGCACUAACAAAGGCAAAAAUCUAGGAUAAGUAUUGCAAAUCUUUACAUUUAACACUAAUAAUUAGUGCUAAAACGAAUUUCUUGUCAAAAAGAUUUGGACGGAAAUAUAUUUUAAUACAAAAAGUGUUAGUUUCAUUCACCCCCCAAAAGUGUUCUUUUUUAUGUCAGAAACUGUGCUCCUCCAAUAAAGCUUCUCUAACUCUACUAAUUUCAAAACUUCACCUAAAAUGUUUUAAUUUGUACACCACCCUCAUGUUAAAAUGAAAUAUAAUGACUUCUUCUAACACGCUAUUUUGAAAGAAAGA